AACUUCUCAAUUUUUCUCCAGUUCUUAAAUGAAGAAAAUCGCAGCCGACGAAGAAAAUCAAGGGGAUGAAUAGUGCAAAGAAAGUAAAGAAUCACAAGAAGGAAUCAAGAUCCAGAGGCUCGAUUCCUAUGGGUGUCGGUAUUGGACAGUGACGAGGCUAGGUAUUCGACAAAGGCACGAUUUGUUCCCAAACUGGAUGAUCCUCCGCUGCUUGACUCUCUCUGAUCUGCCUUUCUGAUUUUGGUCAAAUCCAACCAAUCAAGUUCAUGAAAAUAGAAAAUUAAUAAUUAAAAAAAUAAAAGAGUGAAAACCUAAAAAAUCUGAGAUUGGAAAAAGGAGCAUAAGAUGGAUCCAGUCCGUGUAUGACAAGACGAGGACAAGACCCCACGGUUGGGUGGGGCUGGGAAUGGGCAUGGGCGGAGAUUGGAGUUGCAGACGGCAAGGGGUAGGUAGAGGAAGACGAGUCGUCGUCGUCAUUGAAGAUGACGCAGUCAUGCAAGACGAGCAUGAGGACGCGGCGUGAGAGGGAAGACAUUCUUAGCUAGUCCUAACUCCCAAGGUAUUUGGGGAGCCUCGCUAGGACCGGCUAAGCAAGGUUUUAGUCAGAGCGAGUGAACUUUAGUCUCACUCUCACUAAAGUUAGUCCAAUGCUAACCUGUAAUCCAGUCUAGCCCAAUUAAACUUAGUCCAGCCUAGCCCAAUAAAACUUAGUGAGGGCAAACAAACGGGCACUUUGGGUUAUAAACCUUUUGUAACAACCUCAUUUAAAAAAUGGAGUCUCAACGAAACACUCAUGGUACUAUUUACUUUUAAUGAAAAAUCAUAUUUUUACAUUU